rnacentral:rRNA from 1 species
AACGCUAGCUACAGGCUUAACACAUGCAAGUCGAGGGGCAGCAUUGGAGUAGCAAUACUUCAGAUGGCGACCGGCGCACGGGUGAGUAACACGUAUCCAACCUGCCGCUUACUCGGGGAUAGCCUUUCGAAAGAAAGAUUAAUACCCGAUGGUAUAAAGAGUUCGCAUGUUCUCUUUAUUAAAGAGUUUCGGUAAGCGAUGGGGAUGCGUUCCAUUAGAUAGUUGGCGGGGUAACGGCCCACCAAGUCUACGAUGGAUAGGGGUUCUGAGAGGAAGGUCCCCCACAUUGGAACUGAGACACGGUCCAAACUCCUACGGGAGGCAGCAGUGAGGAAUAUUGGUCAAUGGGCGAGAGCCUGAACCAGCCAAGUAGCGUGAAGGAUGACUGCCCUAUGGGUUGUAAACUUCUUUUAUAAGGGAAUAAAGUGAGGGACGUGUCCCUUUUUGUAUGUACCUUAUGAAUAAGGAUCGGCUAACUCCGUGCCAGCAGCCGCGGUAAUACGGAGGAUCCAAGCGUUAUCCGGAUUUAUUGGGUUUAAAGGGAGCGUAGGUUGACAUAUAAGUCAGCUGUGAAAGUUUACGGCUCAACCGUGAAAUUGCAGUUGAUACUGUAUGUCUUGAGUGUACAAGAGGUGGGCGGAAUUCGUGGUGUAGCGGUGAAAUGCUUAGAUAUCACGAAGAACUCCGAUUG